GACAGAGGGUGCAAACGUUGUUCGGAAUUACUGGGCAUAAAGAGCACGUAGGUGGUGUGCUAAGUCACGUGUGAAAUCCCCCGGCUUAACCGGGGAAUGGCGCGUGAUACUGGCGGACUUGAGGCAGGUAGGGGUGAGCGGAACUCCAGGUGGAGCGGUGAAAUGCGUAGAUAUCGAGAGGAACACCUGCGGCGAAGGCGGGUUGCUGGGCUGACACUGACGCUGAGGCGCGAAAGCUAGGGGAGCGAACGGG
rnacentral:rRNA from 1 species